rnacentral:rRNA from 1 species
UGCCGGCGAGUGGCGCACGGGUGCGUAACGCGUAUACAACCUACCUUAUACAGGGGUAUAGCCCAGGGAAACUUGGAUUAACACCCCAUAGUAAUAUGUUUUGGCAUCAUUACAUAUUUAAAACUACGGUGGUAUAAGAUGGGUAUGCGUCCCAUUAGCUUGUUGGUGUGGUAACGGCACACCAAGGCAACGAUGGGUAGGGGCCCUGAGAGGGGGAUCCCCCACACUGGUACUGAGACACGGACCAGACUCCUACGGGAGGCAGCAGUGAGGAAUAUUGGACAAUGGGCGGGAGCCUGAUCCAGCCAUGCCGCGUGCAGGAAGACUGCCCUAUGGGUUGUAAACUGCUUUUAUACGGGAAGAAACCCACCUACGUGUAGGUGGCUGACGGUACCGUAAGAAUAAGGACCGGCUAACUCCGUGCCAGCAGCCGCGGUAAUACGGAGGGUCCGAGCGUUAUCCGGAAUCAUUGGGUUUAAAGGGUCCGCAGGCGGCCAGAUAAGUCAGUGGUGAAAUUCCGUGGCUCAACCACGGAACUGCCAUUGAUACUGUUUGGCUUGAAUCAGUUCGAGGAUGCCGGAAUGUGUGGUGUAGCGGUGAAAUGCAUAGAUAUCACACAGAACACCAAUUGCGAAGGCAGGUGUCCAGAACUGUAUUGACGCUGAUGGACGAAA